CUCACUUUGUAGACCAGGCUGGUCUCGAACUCAGAAAUCCGCCUACCUCUGCAUUACCACAAUUCUUGAGUCCUCCCUAGAUAACUUUCCCUCCUUUUCUGCCUUUCACCUUUUCUAGAGUAGCCAUUCCACAGGUGUGUGUGUGUGUGUGUGUGUGUGUGUGUGUGUGUGUGUGUGUGUGUGAAACAGAAGGGAGAUUCUCUUAACCGAAGUAGUAGAACAGUCAGUCGCCUUGGACAGGCAGGGUGCAGUGAUGACGGUCUUUGGCUGGGCUAGCCUGCUUGCCUUGAGUAUGCCGAGGUCCUAGCCUUCUCCACAAUGAUCCUGCAUGGCUGAAACUUUUAAACUAUUGUGGUAGGAGCAGCCUUUCUCCUUUAGCUCUUGAGUGAAUAAAGGACCUGGCCUCUCAGUUUUUAUUGUCCAGUGAGUAACAUUAGAGCAUUGUUUCCCUCCGAAAAGUGCGGUGAGGGGCUUUAACUUAAUGCCAUCUUCUGCCAUUGCUUUUCAUGAAUCAGAGAGUAGGGACUCUGGCUCCCAGUUCGCCCAUGAGUCCGCUAAUACCUGCGUUAUUAGGCUGUUGUGGCGGGUAAAUGAGAGGACAGGCAUGAAGCUCGAGUGGGCUGUGAAUCAGGGUUCGGGACACGGUGAAUGAAACAUUACACAUAAAGUGUUAGGUGCAGUGCAUGGUUUGCAGAAAGUGUCCAGUAAGUGACAUCUGAUGACAAAGGCGACCACAGUGAUGAUUAAAAAAAAAAGUCAGUUUUCUUCAGUGUGUAAAGGAUGGCAUUACAUACCUCUUGGCCAUUUACAUGCCUUUGCUUUCUCUGGGGCUUGGGGGAGGGGGAAGCUAAUGAAAUGGGAUGUGAGGCCUGCAGAGUUCUGCAGGUCAAGGGUGGGUGCCCCACUGCCUGCAGGCUUUCAUGGACCCCAGGCUUCCUCUCUGCCCCAGACUUUUCACUGUGGUUAGGGCAGGACUGGCUGUAGCUGAGGGCCUGGGACAGCUGCUUCCUUUUUCACUUUUUAGGACCUGAAGAAUCAAGAUCCCUCCUGGGGCUGAACUUGAAGCCUAUAGGACGCGAGGGCAAAAGAAAGGAUGGGUGAAGAAAAAAAAAGGGGGGGGGGGAAGAAAGCAAGCUGAUAAUUUCCUCGAAGGGUAAACAUCCGAUUUUUUUUCCUUACCCCAAAAUAAACAUGCUAACCACAAGGAAUUAAAAGCAGAAGAGGGAGGAUGUCUCAAUUUGGGGUUGUUCUAGCAAGCUGACCUUCUAUUUAUCCUGGUCCUGGGCACCAAUUGGAGCUGCCAAUUACACUCUGCCCCUGGCACGGUAAGGGUUUUGGAGAGACAGUUCCAGGGAACAUGGAACCCAAAAAGUCCCUUCUCGUGGCUGUCUUCUAUGACACUGCAAAUGGAAACUUCCUUUUGUUUCUUAUUUUAGCUCUGCUCACAGGCUUGCCCGCUGCGGGAGAGGGAGCAGGAGGUUCCUUUUGCCCUGGGCUGGCUGACAUCAGAUGUGCUGCUAGAUCUUCAGCAUUUGUUCCUAUUCUUUUGGGGCAGGGAUCUGAACCUAGCAAUGGAAUUGGGGGGGGGCAGUAUCCGACACUUCCCCAUAUCACAGACUCAGUACCCUGCCUGGCUGCAUUCUUUAGAUCCAGCCCUGAAAUGUAACUAAUGAGUUGAGUGUGUUUCACAGGGCGAAGGGUCAACGGGGGCCCCUCUACCUUGUAGCCAUCAUGGGGCAUGCCCCAUGCAUGUAAUAAGGUAAUAACCUUAGGCCUGCCUUCCUCCUGCCCCUUUCAUCUGGAGAUCUCAAAGCACGCUGUCGAUGAGUCACCAGUGCGGCUGUGCCUUGGCCAAGGUCUCCCUCUGUGUCUUAGAAAAUCGUGGAGGGAAACUGAUCUAGGGGACCUUGAGAGGAGUAGAAAGGACUAGGGUGGAGGUCAGGCAUCUGAGGAGAUGCGGUCCAUGCUGCACAUGAGAGCAGCAGAGAUGCAUGUUCAAGGCGGGGGGCGGGGGGGUUCCUUGGGCAGCAAAAUCGGGAAGCAACGAGGAGACCCAAGGACCUUACAUGAUGAAAACCCUUUCCCCACAUACACCGAGUAGCCUCCUCAUAAACUCUAUAAACAGCACACAUCUGAUCAUGAUACCAGUCUUUCUCCAAUCUCCAAUUCCAUCUUCUCCAAUUCCUUAUUCCAUAAACUGUGUGUGUGUGUGUGUGUGUGUGUGUGUGUGUGUGUAGAUUUGAUUAAAAACUAUAGCGUGGUUAUGAGGCCUGGCCUGGCCUUGGCCUACCCUAUCCAGCCAAUGCUCAUGCCUCAUUUCAGCCCUUUCAUUGGCCUUUCAUUUUCAGGUAGAUGCUCAUUUGUUCCUGCUAGCGGCUCAGUGAAGCUCUAAGGAAGUCUGCCUCUGUUGCACUGAAUUAAUUUCUACCCCACAUUCCAGCCCCAACUUCAAAUACCACUUCUUCCAAGAGGCCUUGACUCUUCCACUCCUGCCAGAAACCGGGCCCCCUUUUACAGCCUCAGAACACGCAUCACAGUUUGUUAAAACUUGAUUGUGACUCUCUUGAUGAUGAACACCCCCACCACAGACUGCUAAGCUCUGCUGGAGUAGCUGGAGUAGCUGGAGUAGCUAGCACCUCUCUCUGUGUCUGCCCUGGGUCUGGCUUGGAACAGGUGCCAGGCUCCAGCGGGUGACACACACAUCUGAGGGAACUGGCACUUCUUUUCUGUCCCAUCAGCACUGGGCAUGGUGUUGUGCAUAACUCAGCAUGUGGCAUUGUUCCCGGGGGUGCAGAGUGCAUUGGACAGUCAUGGAACUUCUCCCUGAAGUGCAAUGAGGCGGGGAGAGCAAGCAAGCGAGCAUCUGCUUGGAGGGUAAAGGCCUGCCACCCUGCUCAUGGAGCCACGCUUUCUGCCCUGGCUUCUGGAAGUCACAAGACGGAGAAAAUGGAGACAUCCAGUUGACAGAGCACCUGUGACAUGUGAUGCUGUGUGUUCUAUGGAUCUCACAGAUGACAUCAACACCUCCCCUAGGAACUUAGUGACGAAGGAAAGCAUCUCUGGGAGGAACACACACCUCCUCAUCACUUUUUGCUGCCCAAGACAUGAGCUGAACGGUCCCUGCCCUUUGUUUUAAGGGAGGAAGGAUUUCUUUUGGCUCAUACUUAAGAGGCCCUGCUGUGUCCAUUCGAAGGGGACAUUUUUAGGGAAGUCUCUGUUGAGAGCUCAGGCCAGUUGGAGACAGUCCCUUCAUCCCAGGACACCCUGUGAAGAGUGGAUCCAAGAGAAGUGAGGGGAUCAGAACUUUAAAGAAAGCAGCAGCGGACUCAGCACAUGGGAAGUCCUGGGUCUCCAAACCACAUGGGAAGUGGGGGGUCUCCAAAGCUUCCCGGUAAUCUCCUAUCUGCAUUUGUCGUUUGACAUGGAAAGUCGGUAGCUGCUUUCCUUUCCAUGGGAGGGCAAAUGAGAGGGACCAAACCUUACACUAGCCCACAGGGGACACAUAUAAAUGAGCCCUUAAGGAGCUCUGCUGGGUACUGCACAGGGGCAGAUGUCCCUGGAUGCUAGAGUUCUUGGAUCCCUUGGUCCUAGUUUCAGGCGUGUCUUUUUUACCUGAAAGAAAUAGAAUAUAGUCUCCUUCCUUGUGGUCAAGUUCACUGGGGCAGAAACCUUUGUUUUCCAGACUUUCCCUGUAGCUUUGUGAAGCCAAGGGUAACUCAUGCCUCGAAAUCCACUUGUCCAAGGCUUCACGCUCUUCCAGACAACCAGAGUUCGAUUUCCAGCACGCACUUCAGGCAGCUUACAAACUGGCCGUGGCUCUAGGACCAAGGGGUAUGAUCGCUCCAGAGUCCUGGGACAUCUACAUUCAUAGACGCAUACCCCUCCCCUAAACCCUACCUACGCUUGAUUUAAAAAUAAAAUAAAUCUUAAA